rnacentral:rRNA from 1 species
AACAAACGCUGGCGGCGUGCCUAAUACAUGCAAGUCGAACGGGGAAAGCCUUCGGGUUAGUACUAGUGGCGCACGGGUGAGUAACACGUGGGUAAUCUGCCUCAAAGUGGGGAAUAACUAGUCGAAAGAUUAGCUAAUACCGCAUAAGACCACAGGAUCUGCGGAUCUAGGGGUUAAAGGAGCAAUUCGCUUUGAGAUGAGCCCGCGAGGGAUUAGCUAGUUGGUGGGGUAAUGGCUCACCAAGGCUACGAUCUCUAACUGGUCUGAGAGGAUGAUCAGUCACACUGGAACUGAGACACGGCCCAGACUCCUACGGGAGGCAGCAGUAGGGAAUAUUGCGCAAUGGGGGAAACCCUGACGCAGCGACGCCGCGUGAGCGAUGAAGGACUUCGGUUUGUAAAGCUCUGUCGCAGGGGAAUAAUUUUGAAGGUACCCUGUAAGAAAGGAUCGGCUAACUUCGUGCCAGCCGCCGCCGUAACAC